rnacentral:rRNA from 1 species
AUGGUUAAUCAUAAGUUCAAUUUCUGCUGUUGGAAUGUUCACGGCCUUGGGCAAACCCAAAAAUGCUCGAACAUUCUCUCUGAGCUCUUGGCCAUUAAUCCACAUGCUUUUUUUUUGCAAGAAGCCAAACGAGACUCUAUCUCUAUUCUAAAGCAGCGUUCCUUCCUCCCUAAGCACCUGAAUCUAACAAACCCUCGACCGGCCUUUGGGUCUGCAGGUGGCAUGCUCUCGGCCUUCUCCUCGUCUCAGUUUACUCUGACUGCCAUGGACUCCGGACUCUACACCCAAACCACCCUGGUCUCCUGUCUAGCCUCCCCCACCCUUGCCUUUACCAAUGUUUAUGCUCCGACCGACCAUGUGCUCAAGCAAGAUUUUUUGUCAGAGCUUGCUACCUUUGCCCCCUCUCCUCCCAUGCCCUGGCUAAUCUUGGGUGAUUUCAAUCUCCUGAGACUUCCCUUGGACAAAAACACGAGUAACUUCAGGCAGACCGAAGCAGACAUGUUCAAUUCCUUUAUUAACCAGAGUGCACCAAUUGAGCUUCCCCUUCUAGAUAGAUGCUUCACUUGGUCAAGCAAAAGGGAUCAACCCACUCUCGAAAAAAUUGACAGAGUGUUCAUCAAUGUGGAUUGGGAUCUCCUAUUUCUAAACACCACCAUUUCCUCGCUCACUAGAUUUGUCUCUGACCAUGUUCCCCUGCUGAUCACUAUCGACGUCGUCAUCCCUCGUCCCGCGCUUUUUUGUUUUGAACUUAGGUGGACCACUAGGCCGACUUGUCAUACGGUAAUUCAAAACGCCUGGGCCGCGGCCCGCACUUGUUCAAACCACUCGCUUUCCCUUGUGGCUGCUCUCAAGCGUACUUGCGCUGACUUAAAAAUUUGGCGGCGCUCCGCUCUGCCUCUAAACACUUGGGAGAGGAACUGCAAGACUGUCAUUUCCGUACUCGACCUCAUCAAAGGCUCUCGAUUCCUCUCGCAUACUAAAUUAGUUCUCUGCCAUGUGAUUAUUAAAGUUCUCCAAUGCACACUUCGUUAG